rnacentral:rRNA from 1 species
UACGUAGGGUGCAAGCGUUGUCCGGAAUUAUUGGGCGUAAAGAGCUCGUAGGCGCUUGUCGCGUCGGCUGUGAAAACCUGGGGCUCAACCCCGGGCCCUGCAGCCGAUACGGGCAAGCGUAGAAUUCGGUAGGGGAGACUGGAAUUCCUGGUGUAGCGGUGGAAUGCGCAGAUAUCAGGAGGAACACCGGUGGCGAAGGCGGGGUCUCUGGGCCGAUACUGACGCUGAGGAGCGAAAGCGUGGGGAGCGAACAGG